ensembl:snoRNA H06I04.9 ncRNA
AGAAUCUCGAGAAGCGAUUUCCUGACACUCGUCGGGUCGCUUUGAGGACAGACCCUGCCGUACACAUUCUUGAUUUU